ACCCUACGGGGGGCAGCAGUGGGGAAUAUUGCGCAAUGGGGGAAACCCUGACGCAGCAACGCCGCGUGAACGAGGAAGGUCUUCGGAUCGUAAAGUUCUGUUGAAGGGGAAAAAGAGCGGAGAGAGGAAAUGGUCUCCGAUUGAUAUUACCCUUCGAGGAAGUCACGGCUAACUACGUGCCAGCAGCCGCGGUAAUACGUAGGUGGCGAGCGUUAUCCGGAUUUAUUGGGCGUAAAGGGCUCGUAGGCGGUUCGUCGCGUCCGGUGUGAAAGUCCAUCGCUUAACGGUGGAUCCGCGCCGGGUAC
rnacentral:rRNA from 1 species